CGGCGCGAUCGGGGAGCAGGCGCGGCUACGCUCCGCCUCAGUGAUGUCGCCGGGAGGAUCUCCGCGCGGCUACCUCCUCUUCCGCCGCCUUCCUCCCACGCCUUCACCUCCCUCCCCCGCCGCGCUCUGCGGCGAAAAGGAGCGGGCUCCCAGGCCACCUCCCCUCUCUCCACCCAGGGGCCGCGCGUCAGUGGACCUGCAGCCCAGGCAACGGGGCUGCGGACGGCGCGCGUGCCCUGCCUCGCCUCACGCCGGUAGCUGAUGCUCCCGCGGCAGCUGCCACCCCAGCGCCCCAGCCACGGCUUCAGAGGCUCUCGCACGCUGGCUUUUUUUUUUUCCCCCCGCUUUGGUGAACUCGCAGUACUUGGGCUGAGCCCGAAAUCUCGCGAGAUGCUGCAGGCGUCAGUGCGGCUUCCCACUAGGCGCGUGGUACCCGAGGCCGGGCCGGAGCCGCAGGCCAGCCGCGAUUCCUUCGGGCGAUGCUGGGGGCUUUCCGGUCGGGGCCGCAGCCGCUUCCGGAGCCGCGGGCGAGGUGCGUUCCCCAGCCUGGUUUGCUCUGGGCUCUGACCCGCCGCCGCGAAUCUCCGCUCGUAACUCCGGGCCUGAACCUGGAGGAGGGAGGAUUUCCUCUGUGCAGCUUUCGAGCGGUAGACUCACCCUGCCAGGCAGACCUAGAUUGGCAUAACCAGAGAUCAGUUCCAGUUGUGAUGCAGUGGGUGUCUACACACUUCUGAUGACACCUUUAUUUUAAAAGCUGAUGUUCCAAGGUGCAAGCGGUCUUCUCUGUCUUCUUUAUGGCCAGUAAAAUUCUCCAGAAGAGAUUUAUGGCAGCCUCACUCCCAGUAGUUUCUGCAUUUAGUGAGAUAAGCCACAGCAAUUGUCUGCUAUUUUAAAAGCACUGUGAUGCUUAAAUAUUCCAGCUGCUACAUCGGACAGGUGUCUGAUGAUCCUGAGAACAGUCAUCAAAAAGUAGAACUUGAGCCUGGAAUACAUUCUCUGGCAUAGCCAUAGUCAAUCACCAGUAUAAUUAAUGUAAAUGGACACUGGAUAGCUUUUUUGUGAAUUCUGAUGCAGCACAAAGAGACUUUAAUUGUUUCCAAAAAGAAAAUGUCUGAGAUUAAAAUCUAGAGUUUUAUGACUUAGAGGAAAUUUUAUAGCUUUACUCCAAAAAGGGUAAGGCACAAAAUAUUCUGUGCCAAAGGAUGCAUAUUUGGUAUUUUUCCUAUGAAUCCCUUAGUGUAAGUGGCAUGAUGAAAUUUUCUUGGUUUCAACACAGAUGAUGUGUUGAGGUAGUGUUGAGGCUGAGAGGUGGGUGGGAUGGGUCUUGGAGAAGGAAAAGAUUUGUUUUGCAAGGUUUGUGGAGAGCUGAUGCGGUAGUGAGGCUAAGACGAGGGGUAUUUACUUGCUACUUACAUUGAGUCCACUAACAUCUGCAGCACUUUGCUUGCAUUAUCCACGCAAUUAUCACGGGAAACCUAUAAAAUAAGUAUUCCUCUCCUCAUUUUACAAAUAGGGAAGCAGAUAAGAUUUAGAAAAUUUCCCAAACUCACACAAUUAUUAAAUGACAGAACUAGGACUCAAACCCAGGUUUUAUUAAUUUUAGAGACAUGUUUUUAACCACUUGGACACUGCCAACCAUGGAAUUGUUGGUAUGAAAAAAACGUACUCUUGAGUUAUAUUAUCCAUGGUCUUAAUAUCAGAGAAGUGCAGUUGAGUCGCUAUUAAAGAAUAUGGUAAAAUUAUAAAAUGGAUACUAUACAAAGGUAUAAAAAUAUUAUAAAUACUUAUGUUUGGGGUAAAAGGAUCAAAGUAGCCAUGCUCAGUGGAAGGGUAAGGAACUCUUAGCAGAGAUUGAUUAAUUGGGAGAUAAUUGAUUAAUUGGGAGUUGAUUGAUUAAUUGGGAUUUAUUAAUUUGGGAGUAGGUAGGAAGAUAGGAAGUUGUAUAAAAUAAGGGAGAGAUAACUUAGUACCUGGAAAAAAAGAAAUGGAAAUAGGUAGAAGCUAAGAGUUCAAUUAAAAAAAAGGAAUAAAAGAUAUUGGAAGGGAACGAUGAAUGUAGCAUGGAAGAUCCAAGAUGAUGGGAGUUCAGGGGCUAAUUACAGCUAUGGGGAAAAAGUAAUGUAUAAGCUGGAAGCCAGAGAUAAGAGCCAUGUAAAUGAAGAAGUUGGGCCCCAAUAGGAAAGAAUUAUAAGGACUAGAAGGAGCAGGAGCCAUGUGGAAAAAUAUCAUGUAGUACUUUUAAGCUUGAUCUGUCAUCUGUAGCAAAACCAGCAUGCUUGAGUACUGAAUUGACCUGACUGAACUAUGUUGAAAUGUACUGUGGUUUUAUAUCCAUAUGCACUUGGUCUGUGGAGUUGUGGGAAAAGCAUCAGUGAGUAGGAAGCCCAAGGAUUUGGGUCAAGUAUUAAAUAUGCUAUUUACUGUCUAGCUAUGUGACCUUAUAUAAGUCACUUGUGGUCUCUGAGCCUUCAUGUAUUCAUCCAUAAGAUGAGUUGUUGUUUAUAUUAAAUGGGAUGUGGUAUGUUAAAGAGCUGAAUGCAUAGUGAUACAGAAUUACUUUCUGUAAUACUAUUUUUUAAAUAUUUUAAAUGAAAAAUUAAUGAACUUAUAAAUUAAAAGAUUCAAAAGGGAUAAAAAGGUAUACAAUGAAAAGCAAUUCUCCUUCCCACCAGUAACUCUGUCCUACUCCUUAGGACAUUCACCAUAAACAGAUAUCCUGAAUUCUUCUAGAAAUAUUAUAUAUAAAAUCUUAUAUUUCUUAUGUUUCUUUUUUACUAUUUUAAAGGGGAUAAACUAAACUUUGCUUUUUUUCAUAUAAUAAUAUAUUCUGGAGAUCAUUUUCUAAAAGCACAUGUAAACAUACCUCAUUAUUAUAAAGGUUUGAAAAUAUCAAUUUAUUUGACCUGUCCCCUCUCGAUAGAUAAUUAGAUUGUAUCCAUCCCUUUGGUUAUUACCAACAGACACUAAUCACUUAUCAUGUACAUAUAGCCUGUUUUUUAGCAUUGUUAGACAAAGUAGGCAUAUUCCUUUCCAUCCAAGAACUCAUAACCUAGUAAUUGUAGUUGGCUGAUAGCUCAUUGCCCAUACACAAGGAUCUAACACAACCUCUUGAAUAAACAUCCCCCUUAUUCAGAAAUGCCUUUUCCUAUUUCCAUAUUGCAACUUUGCUUACAAAUUUCCAAUCUGUCUUUCUGUUUACAGAAGAUAUACAAAAUUCCUUUUGUAUGAUCUCUUUAUAUCUCUUGAUUUUCUUUUGUGUUUGCUACCAAAGGGCCUGCACAUAGUGAGAAGAUUGUGCAUGAUCUGUGAGCUCUACCACACCUGGAAUUAGGGAUCACCAAUAUGAGAAAAAAAAUUGGAGGUACAAAUAACAUUAUCAUAUGUAAUUGGCAUAUAAAUUACAGAUGUAUCUAUGACUAAAAACCCUGUGGAUAUAAACCAAAUGCAGAUAAAUAUAAUAAAAUAUAUAAAAAUAUAAUCAAAUAAUGAUAGUGCUAUUCAAAUACUUCAAAUUUGCACAGUGAUUUAUUUCUUAAAAUAUGUUAACACAUGUGAG
rnacentral:lncRNA from 1 species